rnacentral:rRNA from 1 species
AUCCACCUCUUCCCAUUCCGAACAGAGAAGUUAAGCUCACCCGCGCCGAUGGUACUGACCCACCAGUUGGGAGAGUAGGUCGCCGCCGUUU